rnacentral:rRNA from 1 species
CACGUAGGGCGCAAGCGUUGUCCGGAAUUAUUGGGCGUAAAGAGCUCGUAGGCGGACUGUCACGUCUGCUGUGAAAAGCUGGGGCUUAACCCUGGCCUUGCAGUGGAUACGGGCAGACUAGAGGUAGGUAGGGGAGAAUGGAAUUCCCGGUGUAGCGGUGAAAUGCGCAGAUAUCAGGAGGAACACCGGUGGUGUAGACGGCUUUCUGGACCGUAACUGACGCUGAGACACGAAAGCGUGGGUAGCAAACAGG